CAUGGAUCAAGGAAGACAGGUUGGUGGGGAAAGAAGAGUGGCAGGGUGAGGGAGAAUUCAUUGAGGACAAAGGACAUGAAGACUAAGAGUGGUGAUCUCUGAUGAGAUAAGGGCCACUAUUAUUGACCAUAUUCUAAACCAUGCUCUUUGAGAGAAAUCGGUUUUAUGGGUGCAACCAAAUCUGCAGCGUUCAACAGUUCCAUCAAUAGAAUACAUUUUCUGGCAAACCAGGAUCUAAAGGUUGCCUCCCACCAGAGGAAGAGGCAGAAUAUGAUCAGAUACGCAGGAAAUUGCUACUGUUGACAUUGUAAUUGGCAACAAUGCAAUAAAACCGUGGGAAAUUCAGAACGGAGUGCUGGCAGACAAUAUCACUUUUGGGAAUGUGAAUACGGUCAACACAACGACAAUUAUAAGAGUCCUACAGAAACAUCAAAUAAGGAUGAAGCAGUUGUACACUGUACACUUUGAGAGAAACGGUGAACGUGUGAAAGAACUCUGGUAUCAAUAUAUCCAGAGCAUAAUGGAGAUGGAAGCCAGGCAAACUGCACAUGCAUUCAUCUUUGUGGAUGAAGCUGGAUUCAAAAACACACCACAGGGGAAGAAAUGUAAUUGGACAGAGAUCAACUAUGGAGGUCCCAGGCCAGAGAGGAGCUAACAUCACAAUUUGUGCACUGUCCAAUGAUGGUUUGCUGUUACAUAAAUCACUCAUUGGCCCCUACAAUACAGAGAGGCUCAUUUUUAUUCUGGAUGACCUGCAUAAUCGACUUGUGCCAGUGAUGGGAGAAAGGGGCAAGAAACUUCCCUAACUUUGUUGUUGUGUGGGACAAUGUGACAUUCCACUACUCUGCUGCAGUCAGACUGGUUUGCUAUACAUACCAGGACAUCAGUACUAUUCCUGU
ensembl:lncRNA